GUCUUUUUGAUUAUAAUUUAAAGUUUGACCUGCCCAAUGAGUAGUUAAAUGGCCGCGGUAAUUUGACCGUGCAAAGGUAGCAUAAUCAUUAGUUUUUUAAUUGGAAGCUGGAAUGAAUGGUUGGACGAGAAAAUAGCUGUCUCAAUUUAAUUUUAUGUAGAAUUUUAUUUAUAAGUAAAAAAGCUUAUAUGAAUUUAAAAGACGAGAAGACCCUAUAGAAUUUUAUAUAGAAUUAUAUAAUUAUUUUUUAGAAUAAAUAAAUGGUUAUAUUUUUUUAUAUUUUGUUGGGGUGAUAGAAAAAUUUAAUGAACUUUUUUUUUAUAAAUUCAUUAAUUAAUGUUUAGUUGAUCCAUUAUUUAUGAUUAUAAGAUUAAAUUACCUUAGGGAUAACAGCGUAAUUUUUUUUUAGAGUUCUUAUCGAAAAAAGAGUUUGCGACCUCGAUGUUGGAUUAAAAUUAACUUUUGGUGUAGGUGCUAAAAGGUUAGGUCUGUUCGACCUUUAAAAUUUUACAUGAUCUGAGU
rnacentral:rRNA from 1 species